GAUGAAGAACGCAGCGAAAUGGGAUAAGUAAUGUGAAUUGCAGAAUUCAGUGAAUCAUCGAAUCUUUGAACGCACAUUGCGCCCUUUGGUAUUCCGAAGGGCAUGCCUGUUCGAGCGUCAUUUCACCACUCAAGCCUGGCUUGGUAUUGGGCGCCGCGGUCGAUCCGCGCGCCUCAAAGUCUCCGGCUGAGCUGUCCGUCUCUAAGCGUUGUGAUUUCAUUAAUCGCUUCGGAGUGCGGGCGGCCGCGGCCGUUAAAUCUUUCACAAGGUUGACCUCGGAUCAGGGAGGGAUACCCGCUGAACUUAAGCAUAUCAAUAAGCGGAGGA
rnacentral:misc_RNA from 1 species